AUGAGGCCGAUCAAGGAGUGGGAAAGCAUCAAUGAAAGACCAACGGCUAUGCUACCGAGCUCUUCAACUCAAUACUGGGAGAGGCUUGAUUAUGGGUUGGUGAAAGAAAAUUGUGAUUGGGCUAUGUCUAAAGCGUCGGACUUCAGCGUUGGAGGCAUCGUUCUUACGAACCACAAUGGAAUCUUCAUAGCGGGAGCAUGGCAUUUUUUCCCUUCGGUCGCCAAUCCAGAGCUUGCAGGACUACUAGCAUGUCGUCGUGCUAUCAAGCUAGCUAUGGAGAUCAAUGUAAGGAGGCUAGUAGUGAAGAUAUAUUCACACGUAGUGGUAAUCAAGUGA
rnacentral:rRNA from 1 species